UUUUCUCCUCUUCUCGCUGACGUCACACUUUGUACACUCCGCUCCCGUUAUCGUACGCACGUAUUUCCCGUCGCUGGUUAUUCACUGAAGAGUAAAGAGGAGACGGAGAAGAGAAGGAAUAACGGAAAAAAAUAAGGUGGACGGGGCCGAAAUGAGCACCUGAGCCGAAAGCGCGAGUCGAAAUCGGGACCCAAACUCAAGAUCAGCUGAGUCCCGGGAGGCGAGAGACCAAGGGAACUACGUCGGCUAUUUAUCUCUCAGCAGAUCCAUCGUGGGGCAGGAUCACCCCAUGGCCACAAGCACCCCACACUGAGGCAGCACCUGAACCACACCCCAACUAGCCACCACAGCCGCAACACAAACCCAGAAAGAAGCCCUCCCAUCAUCACCACAGCCCCACAAAU